rnacentral:rRNA from 1 species
UACGGAGGGUGCAAGCGUUAUCCGGAUUUAUUGGGUUUAAAGGGUCCGUAGGCGGACCGAUAAGUCAGUGGUGAAAUCCUGCAGCUCAACUGUAGAACUGCCAUUGAUACUGUCGGUCUUGAAUUUGGUUGAAGUGGGCGGAAUAUGACAUGUAGCGGUGAAAUGCUUAGAUAUGUCAUAGAACACCGAUUGCGAAGGCAGCUCACUAAGCCUGGAUUGACGCUGAUGGACGAAAGCGUGGGUAGCGAACAGG